AGGAGGAACAACCGCAGUGGCGGCGGCCAGCCCUGGAGCCCUGGAUUCAGCUCCAGCAGUAACUUCGGAGCUCUCUGUCUGCAGGGCCUGGAUGCUCCGGGGGCGG
rfam:Canis lupus familiaris chromosome X, whole genome shotgun sequence.